rnacentral:rRNA from 1 species
GGCGUACGGGUGCGUAACGCGUAUGGAACCUGCCCUUAUCUGGGGGAUAACUCCGGGAAACUCGAGCCUAAUACCGCGUAAGAUAGUACAAUGGCAUCCCUCAGCUAUUAGAGAUUUAUUGGAUAAGGAUGGCCAUGCAGUAAGAUUAUAUAGUUCGGCGAGGUAACGGCUCACCAAGUCUACUAUCUUUAGGGGCUCUGAGAGGAGAAUCCCCCACACUGGCCCUGAGAUACGGGACAGACUCCUACGGCAGGCACCUGUAGGGAAUAUUGGGCAAUGGGCGGAAGCCUGACCCAANNNNNNNACCCGCAGGAAGACCGCCCUCUGGGUUGUACACUGCUUUUAACUGCGAAGAAAAGAGGCCUUGCGAGGCAAGUUGACUGCCCCCGUUGAAUAAGCCACGGCUAACUACGUGCCAGCACCCGCGGUAAUACGUAGGUGGCGAGCGUUAUCCGGAUUUAUUGGGUUUAAAGGGCAGCGUAGGCGGCUGAUUAACUCAGCGGUGAAAGGUAGCAGCUUAACUGUUUUACAUGCCGUUGAUACUGGCUAGCUUGAGUUGACAGAAGGCAGAUAGAAUUCCUGAUGUAGCGGUGAAAUGCUUAUAUAUCAGGAGGAAUACCGAUUGCGAAGGCAGUCUGCUGCAGUCACACUGACGCUGAGGCUCGAAGGUGCGGCGAUCAAACAGGAUUAGCCACCCUGGUCGUCCGCACAGUAAACGAUGAUUACUAGAUGUUGGCCACGCCAGUGUCCACGGCAAACCGAUAAGUAAUCCACCUGGGGAGUACGCC